rnacentral:rRNA from 1 species
UACGUAGGGUGCAAGCGUUGUCCGGAAUUAUUGGGCGUAAAGAGCUCGUAGGCGGUCUGUCGCGUCGGCUGUGAAAACCCGGAGCUCAACUCCGGGCCUGCAGUCGAUACGGACAAACUGGAGUGUUGCAGGGGAGACUGGAAUUCCUGGUGUAGCGGUGAAAUGCGCAGAUAUCAGGAGGAACACCGGUGGCGAAGGCGGGUCUCUGGGCAACAACUGACGCUGAGGAGCGAAAGCGUGGGGAGCGAACAGG